rnacentral:lncRNA from 1 species
UGUGUUGUGUUUUUAUUUGGGUCUCGCCGGUUGUUUUUUCGCAGGAUGCGACAAAGGUAACGAUUCUAUCACUGAUCAUACCAAUUCUUAAGGAUCGCUAAAGGAGAAAUUUUAAAUUUCGCUGCAUUUUGGAUCGCUCUUCUCCUUCAGUAUGCAAUAUGCUAAUGCAAAAUGAUUGAUUGUUUUUCGUCUUUCUCUUAGCUUUUUCUCUUUUUUCUCUUAUUC